rnacentral:rRNA from 1 species
CCUACGGGGGGCAGCAGUGGGGAAUAUUGCACAAUGGGGGAAACCCUGAUGCAGCGACGCCGCGUGAGUGAAGAAGUAUUUCGGUACGUAAAGCUCUAUCAGCAGGGAAGAAAAUGACGGUACCUGACUAAGAAGCCCCGGCUAACUACGUGCCAGCAGCCGCGGUAAUACGUAGGGGGCAAGCGUUAUCCGGAUUUACUGGGUGUAAAGGGAGCGUAGACGGCAGCGCAAGUCUGGAGUGAAAUCCCAUGGCUUAACCAUGGAACUGCUUUGGUAACUGUGCAGCUAGAGUGCAGGAGAGGUAAGCGGAAUUCCUAGUGUAGCGGUGAAAUGCGUAGAUAUUAGGAGGAACACCAGUGGCGAAGGCGGCUUACUGGACUGUAACUGACGUUGAGGCUCGAAAGCGUGGGGAGCAAACAGGAUUAGAUACCCCAGUAGUC